CUUUCUCCUUCUAGGUCCAACCCUAAAGGGAAGUAAGAAUGCAGGUUUAGAAAUGACUUAAGCAGUACCAAUCCCAAGGCACCAGCAGAUGACCUCUUUACUCAAGAAAAUCAGCUAGGUAGUAGAACAGGUGAAGGUACGAUGCCAGGCACUGGAGAUAUAAUAAUGAUGCAGCUCCUGUCUUCACAUAUCUUACUGUGUGAAGAAGACAGCAGACAAGCAAACAAGCAAUUGCUUCUAGAAAUGCUGAAAUUCUGACUGGAAUAGAGAAAAGGAAGGAAGAAGAAAGAUGAUUACAAAAAUCUUAUGAGCGGAGCUUGCCCUGGGCCUGCUGGACUGUCAAUGGCCAGUUCUGGACAGUCAAUGGCCAGCAUGGAAGAGAACACAGGCUUGGAAAAUAGCAGUCCCAGCAAAGAACAAGAGAAGGCAGAGGCUGUCAAGUAGGCAUUUUGUUCUUCACAAAUUUGUGCAUUGGGAAUGGAAGCCCUGUUCUAUUAGAGAAUCAUAGACAACUGAUAGAUGCUGGAAUGGACUGGAUGACUAGUGGGGGUCAAAGGGCCAGUGUGCCCCAUAAACUAUUUUACAUUGUCUUGAAUUCACCCAUUCAUUUAUUUAUUCAACAAAUAUGUAUUAAGUGUUGGCUCUGGGCCAGCCUGUAUAAACACAGGGUGGAUCUAAGCUUACUCUGGUCUUCAUGUUGUUAGUCACCGCUUUGUAUUAGGCUGUUUUUCCAUUGCUAUAAAGAAAUACCUGAGACUGGGUAAUUUAUAAA